CCCAAAAUCCAUUUCCCUUGACUUCUUUGCUGCACCAGAAACACUCUUUGUUCAUCUUUCCUUGCUCCUUUCUUUUCUUCUUUCUUUGCUUUUGAAACGGCAACACCUUCCUACACGCCAACAGCCCUCCCUCUCUCACCGAAACCAUAUAUCUCACUUUAAAGAAGAAAUUAAAAGACUAGCCCUAAGGUUUCAGCUUUAAAAUCUGUGGGUGACGAGAAUGAGAACAUGGACACUUGAACUCCUCUUAUACCAAUCUCUUGUGUUUUCUAUUUUCAGGUUUUUUCCUGGAAGUAGUGAGAGUAUUAGAGGUGACAAGGAUUCUGAGAUUCUCAUUUGUUAGAAUGUAUAAUUUUUUGUUUUACACUGUCUUGCCUCUAUUUUGUUCCAACGCUGCUUUCAUUUUAGUACGUUCUUGAAUGUCUUCUUCUACAGCUUCAGCAAGUAUAACCAAAUUCUUGUAGUCCUCAACUCGAGAAGUAGUCAAAUGUUGUCUAAUUUUGAAAUUCAGCCCUUUGCGAAACUUCUUAACCCUUAAAGCUUCGGUAGAAACAAGGUGGGGAGCAAAACGAGAUAACUCUGUAAACUUUGCUUCAUAUUAAGCAACCCUUAUACUCCCUUAAACAAGUUCAUCGAAAUUUGUAGAACUUUCGCAAAGGGCUGAAUUUCAAAAUUAGACAACGUUUGACUACUUCUCAAGUUGAGAACUACAAGAAUUUGGUUAUACUUGCUAAAGCUGUAGAAGAAGACAUUCAAGAACGUACUAAAAUGAAAGCAGCAUUGGAACAGCAUAGAAGCAAGACAAUGAAGUUUAACCAGCCCUGGAAAGGAAAAUCCUCCCUUUAACUCCUCCAAGAAGAAUGUUUUUCAGUACCUGCCAAAAGCUGGAGGAAAAUGUUCACAUUGUGGAAAGCCUCAUUUCGGGGAAUGCCUCGCUACCAACAGUACAUGUUUUUGUUGUGGGAAACCUGGGCAUUUUAUUAAGGAUUGUCCAAAUAAUUCUAACAAAGGGUAGGUUUGUAAAUAAGAGUAUUGCUAAAUGUUUAGUUAUGUAAUAUUUACACGAAUACCUUAAGUUUCAACCAAGUGGUAAUCUUGCAAAGUUCAAAUGAAAUGAAGUUUCAAGGUUUUCAUCAUUUUUGUAUA